rnacentral:rRNA from 1 species
CGGCCGCGUCGACGGGCAACCCUGAUCCAGCCAUGCCGCGUGUGUGAAGAAGGCCUUUUGGUUGUAAAGCACUUUAAGCAGGGAGGAGAGGCUAAUGGUUAAUACCCAUUAGAUUAGACGUUACCUGCAGAAUAAGCACCGGCUAACUCUGUGCCAGCAGCCGCGGUAAUACAGAGGGUGCGAGCGUUAAUCGGAAUUACGUGGGCGUAGAGCGAGUGUAGGUGGCUCUAUUAAGUCACAUGUAGAACUCCC